CCUCACUUUCGAUCAAUUGUGCGCUACAAGAGUUUACAUUGGAUGCAAAAAGUGAGUUCCUGUGUUGCAUACCUAUUGCGACGGAAGUUUGUGCCUUUAGCGGUCCCCCCUCCAUCACAGCAUCCUUUUGGAUGCUCGAUUGGACUAGAUAGUCGGGCUUGUGCUCCAUGAACGUCAUCUCAUCGGAUCGUUCCUAUGGAUCACGAGCGCCUACUUGUUCUCUCGGAUGCCGAACUUUUGAAGUGGGUAAUGGGGUCAUCGGCCCUUGGUUCCCAAAUCUCUAAGCGUUUAMCGCUUUURCCGGAAUGACGCUCUUGCCUUGUCUUUGAUCGAGUGGAGCUCUCGGGCUUUCAUGAUGGAUCGAUGCUGGGCGGACGUCGUGAAGGAAUGCUACCUGGUUG
rnacentral:misc_RNA from 1 species